rnacentral:lncRNA from 1 species
AGCAAAAUUCAGUAUAGAACUUGUUAAAAGUUUUAGCCAGAUGAAAUUUCAAAGCACACAUCAAUUCGUACUAGGUUGCAAAUGGAUUUUUGUUUAGGAGGACUUGAGUUUAAUCUUGACAUCAACAACUACCGUUACAACUUAGAUAACCCUACCUUAUGCAAAUCAGUUCAAGUACCCUAUGAUAGCUAUCCUGGUUCCUUUGGUCUUAUUUUACCCGUUUUCAUUCUAG